CGGUGUUGGCGGCAACCUCGUCAUCUGACUCAGGCCUCGUUAGACAUCCGGCACGCCUCGAGAUCCUGGGAUGAAACGCCAGGACCCAUCUCGUCCAUCCUCAGCUGCCGAGACAUCAACGCGAGUACCCGUCAACGGUGGACAGCCAAGAGGAUGAGCGUGGCAGUCAGGCCUUCCUCGCAUAGCUUCUUUAGGGCGUCGAGGAUGGGACGGAGCCGCG
rnacentral:lncRNA from 1 species